rnacentral:rRNA from 1 species
CAGCCGCCGCGGUAAUACAUAGGGGGCAAGCGUUAUCCGGAAUUAUUGGGCGUAAAGGGUGCGUAGGCGGCUAGUUAAGUUCAUGGUCUAAAUUUAAGGCUCAACCUUAAAAUGCUUUGAAAACUGGCUAGCUUGAGAGAGGUAGAGGCAAGUGGAAUUCCAUGUGUAGCGGUAAAAUGCGUAAAUAUAUGGAGGAACACCAGUGGCGAAGGCGGCUUGCUGGGCCUUAUCUGACGCUGAUGCACGAAAGCGUGGGGAGCAAACAGGAUUAGAUACCCUGGUAGUCCACGCCGUAAACGUUGAGUACUAAGUGUCGGAAGAAUCCGGUGCUGCAGUUAACGCAUUAAGUACUCCGCCUGAGUAGUACGUGCGCAAGCAUAAAACUCAAAGGAAUUGGCGGGACCUCGCACAAGCGGUGGAUCAUGUUGUUUAAUUCGACGAUACGCGAAGAACCUUACCAGGCCUUGACAUACCGAGCAAAGCUAUGGAAACAUAGUGGAGGUUAACUGGGAUACAGGUGGUGCAUGGCC